rnacentral:rRNA from 1 species
CGGCAAUAGCUCAAAUUUGAAAUCUGGCCCUUUUAGGGUCCGAGUUGUAAUUUGCAGAGGGCGCUUUGGCAUUGGCAGCGGUCCAAGUUCCUUGGAACAGGACGUCACAGAGGGUGAGAAUCCCGUACGUGGUCGCUAUCCUUUGCUGUGUAAAGCCCCUUCGACGAGUCGAGUUGUUUGGGAAUGCAGCUCUAAAUGGGAGGUAAAUUUCUUCUAAAGCUAAAUACUGGCCAGAGACCGAUAGCGCACAAGUAGAGUGAUCGAAAGAUGAAAAGCACUUUGGAAAGAGAGUCAAAUAGCACGUGAAAUUGUUGAAAGGGAAGCGCUUGCAGCCAGACUUGCCUGUAGUUGCUUAUCUGGACUUUUGUCCAGUGCACUCUUCUGCAGGCAGGCCAGCAUCAGUUUGGGCGGUUGGAUAAAGGUCUCUGUCAUGUACCUCUUUUCGGGGAGGCCUUAUAGGGGAGACGACAUGCAACCAGCCCAGACUGAGGUCCGCGCAUCUGCUAGGAUGCUGGCGUAAUGGCUGUAAGCGGCCCGUCUUGAAACACGGACCAAGGAGUCUAACAUCUAUGCGAGUGUUUGGGUGUCAAGCCCAGACGCGUAAUGAAAGUGAACGGAGGUGGGAACCCUUUGGGUGCACCAUCGACCGAUCCUGAUGUCUUCGGAAGGAUUUGAGUAAGAGCAUGGCUGUUGGGACCCGAAAGAUGGUGAACUAUGCUUGAAUAGGGUGAAGCCAGAGGAAACUCUGGUGGAGGCUCGCAGCGGUUCUGACGUGCAAAUCGAUCGUCAAAUUUGGGCAUAGGGGCGAAAGACUAAUCGAACUAUCUAGUAGCUGGUUCCUGCCGAAGUUUCCCUCAGGAUAGCAGUAACGUAUUCAGUUUUAUGAGGUAAAGCGAAUGAUUAGAGGCCUGGGGGUUGAAACAACCUUCACCUAUUCUCAAACUUUAAAUAUGUAAGAAGUCCUUGUUACUUGAUUGAACGUGGACAUUUGAAUGUACCGUUACUAGUGGGCCAUUUUUGGUAAGCAGAACUGGCGAUGCGGGAUGAACCGAACGCGGGGUUAAGGUGCCAGAAUAUACGCUCAUCAGACACCACAAAAGGUGUUAGUUCAUCUAGACAGCAGGACGGUGGCCAUGGAAGUCGGAAUCCGCUAAGGAGUGUGUAACAACUCACCUGCCGAAUGAACUAGCCCUGAAAAUGGAUGGCGCUCAAGCGUAUUACCCAUACCCCGCCGCCAGGGCAGAAUUUAU